rnacentral:rRNA from 1 species
GCAGAACGCGAAGAACCUUACCAGCCCUUGACAUGGACACCGCCGGGAGCAGAGACGCCCCCUUCGGUUCGGCCGGGUGUCACACAGGUGCUGCAUGGCUGUCGUCAGCUCGUGUCGUGAGAUGUUGGGUUAAGUCCCGCAACGAGCGCAACCCUCGCCCUUAGUUGCCAUCAUUGAGUUGGGCACUCUAGGGGGAACUGCCGGUGACAAGCCGGGAGGAAGGCGGGGAUGACGUCAAGUCCUCAUGGCCCGUUACGGGCUGGGCUACACACGUGCUACAAUGGCGGUGACAGUGGGCAGCGAUCCCGCGAGGGUGAGCUAACUCCCAAAAGCCGUCUCAGUUCGGAUUGCACUCUGCAACGUCGGGUGCAUGAAGGCGGAAUCGCUAGUAAUCGCGGAUCAGCACGCCGCGGUGAAUACG